UUUCGGAGCUAACGCGUUUAAGUUAGACCCGCUUGGGGGAGUUACGGGUCGCCAAGAUUAAAACUCAAAUGAAAUUGACGGGGGCCCGCACAAAGCGGUGGAGCAUGUGGUUUUAAUUCGAUGCAACGCGAAGAACCUUACCUACUCUUGACAUCCACAGAAUCCUGCGGAGACGCGGGAGUGCCUUCGGGAACUUUAAGACAGGUGCUGCAUGGCUGUCGUCAGCUCGUGUUGUGAAAUGUUGGGUUAAGUCCCGCAACGAGCGCAACCCUUAUCCUUGUUUGCCAGCGAGUAAUGUCGGGAACUCCAGGGAGACUGCCGGUGAUAAACCGGAGGAAGGUGGGGACGACGUCAAGUCAUCAUGGCCCUUACGAGUAGGGCUACACACGUGCUACAAUGGCGCAUACAGAGGGCAGCGAACUUGCGAGAGUAAGCGAAUCCCAAAAAGUGCGUCGUAGUCCGGAUUGGAGUCUGCAACUCGACUCCAUGAAGUCGGAAUCGCUAGUAAUCGUGAAUCAGAAUGUCACGGUGAAUACGUUCCCGGGCCUUGUACACAC
rnacentral:rRNA from 1 species